rnacentral:misc_RNA from 1 species
UUGUUUUGUUUAUGCUCAAUCAAGAGACUGUUGACAUUCUUAUUACUUAUAAUGGGUUUAAAAUGGGUGUAAAAAUAGUAUAGUGCACAGUGUGAAAAUGAUUUGGGUCGGGCUUCUAAAAAGAACACCCUUGCAUUUCAUUAAUGAUCCUUCCGCAGGUUCACCUACGGAAA